AGAUUGAACGCUGGCGGCAGGCCUAACACAUGCAAGUCGAGCGGUAGAGAGGUGCUUGCACCUCUUGAGAGCGGCGGACGGGUGAGUAAUGCCUAGGAAUCUGCCUAGUGGUGGUGGAUAACGUUCGGAAACGGACGCUAAUACCGCAUACGUCCUACGGGAGAAAGCGGGGGACCUUCGGGCCUCGCGCCCUUAGAUGAGCCUAGGUCGGAUUAGCUAGUUGGUGAGGUAAUGGCUCACCAAGGCGACGAUCCGUAACUGGUCUGAGAGGAUGAUCAGUCACACUGGAACUGAGACACGGUCCAGACUCCUACGGGAGGCAGCAGUGGGGAAUAUUGGACAAUGGGCGCAAGCCUGAUCCAGCCAUACCGCGUGGGUGAAGAGGCCUUCGGUUGUAAAGUCCUUUGUUGGAAGAAAGACAUUCGUUAAUACCGGUGUUCUGACGUAACCAAAGAAUAAGACGACCGACUAACUCGUCG
rnacentral:rRNA from 1 species